ensembl:lncRNA
CAGCGGUGGAGAUGUAGCCAUCGGACAGCGCCAACUCCCCCUGUUCGCCGAGGGGAGGACCGGGGGUUGGCGGAUCCGAGGGAGACCCGUGUGCCAAGAAACCAAGACACCCGUUCAAUUUAAAAAAAUGGAAUGAGCCGGCGGGACGUCACGAUGCGCCGUCGCCAAAAAGCUCCACACGUCGCUGCACGAACGCGCUCAUUUGGCUCUCAGUCCGGAGGCACCGCUGGUUACCAGGAGCUCAUCCAAGACCCGUGCAACCCACCCACCCUUCUUCUGCGCCCGAGGAGGAAACAAAAAUGACACACAAAAGCACCAGAAGUGAAGACGAGGGCGUACUCCAACCUUCAGGUGUGUUGGAGGCGCUGUGUGCGUUUGUGCGUUUGCUGCUGACAGAGCGCUGUGUUCGCAGGCCUGAGGGGUUGUCUGUUAUCUUUGGUUAUCUAGCUGUAUGAGUGGCGUACAUUCUUCAUAAAGCUAGAUAACCGAAAGUAACAAGAAUCCCAUUACACGCCUGCACGGUGGAAGAAAACUAAAUGAAAAGGACGAGAAGAACUGGGAAUGGGCUCGGACAACGGACGCUGUCAAACGAUGGCGUGAAGGACAUUGCUGUGAUGAUCAACGGCACCGUGACUUUAAACCGGUCGCGCUGGGCUGAAGCCAUGAAGAUGUUAAGGGUGAGCUGGUGGACAGAUUCGAGCACUGCUGACCUUUAGCCAAACGCUGACGUUCAUGCAGCACCAGCCUGAUACGUUUGCUCGGUCUAUCCUGUAUAAAACAAACGUCUCUGCCACCUUGUUGUCCCAACCAUGUGUGACUACACACGUGAGCUGUGUAAUCACAUGCUGCCGCUGCAGUACUUCACACUCAGUUAUUGCCGCUGCCCUGUGCCUCAGACAUUUAUGGCUCUCACCUAAUUGUAUGUAUUUUUUUUUACGUUUUUUAUAUUUGUUUUAUUACAACCCCCCGAAAUCAAAUCAAAUAAGGUCUCCUGUGUUAUUACUGCAACUACAAAUAGGAAUAACAAGAGGAAGAAGGACUUUAGAGAUUCAAAACACUUGGAUGUAAUAUUUAGAUUAAUGUUCUUUAAAAAAAAACAUUGAUUGAUUCUAAGAUCCUAUCUUCGCCUUCCCGUAAUUUAAGCUUCUCUCUUUUUUUGUCUCACACACACUGAGGAGUCUCUUUGUCAGAUUUCACCUUGUUUGGGUAAGAAUUUGGCCCCAAUCAGUUUCUAAUUAGCUUUUUUUUUUACUUUAAUGAUGGCAGAUAAUUGGCUGAAAUGGAAAAGCUUGAAUCCUUUCCUUUGGGAAAGAAAUUGUUUUGUUGUUGUUGCUGUAGUCGUUCGGUGAAGCAUCACCACACGUAGCUGCUACAUGGAGCUGUGGCCACACUUUUUGAACAAUACAAUAAAGACAAAUAUAUCGAAUAUCCAGUUUCAGGAUGAGGAUUAUUUUGCGGUUAAAGAGAGCAAGUCGCACAGAAGCUGUGGUGGCUAGAGAGGCAAAACAAAACAAAAAACACCUCAAGGGGCAAUUAGGAGGCCCUCAUCAUUUGGAGCAUCUCCCCUCCAGUUGAUGCUCUUUCAGAACUCAAUGAGCUUUGUCUCAAACGAAUGACGAAGAUGGUGUGUGCGUGUGUGUGUGUGUGUGUGUGUGUGUGUGUGUGUGUGUGCGUGUGUGUGUUAUCUUAUAUCCCAUGUACCACAUAAAUUGGUUGAGCCAAAAUAAUAUCUAGAAACCAACAAUCUUUCUACAAUAUAAAAUAUCACAAGCUUCUUCCUUCAUAAGCUCUAUUAACACGCAGUGUGACGUAGCACAAACUAUCUGGAAGAAUGCUUUAACACUGCUUCCCCUUCAUUCAGUUAUGCUUUUGGAAAUGGCUUAUUUUUAUAUUUGAGAUAUCUUUGUAAUGUUUUUUAAGCUUACAAAAGUCCCAAGCUAUGUUUCUGUUGACCACGUGUUCACUUUUUGACCCUGUACCUUCUUCACACACUCGCCCAAACAUUCGUUCCCCUCAUUCAUUUUAUUUUAUUCUUCCCGUUUCUUCCCAGCUUGGAUUCUCAGAUGGUUGGUUCUGAUUUGUAUGCAUUUGCAUAAUGAAUGUCAUUUGCAUGCUCAGGGGCAGACCAUACCAUGAGAACGGCUGUGUUGGUUGUUUGUGUGUGUGUGUGUGUGUGUGUGUUCAUGCAUGGGCACACAUGUGUCUUAGCAUGUGUGUGCCGUAUAUUAAGCACAUGUAAAUUACACGUUCUUUACACAAACGGACCAUUGCAGGGUGCUGUUUACUUCGCUGUAUACACACUUUCUCUCUGACGUGUGUGUAUAUAUGUGUGUGUGUCCAUGUUUGGGAGGAUUGUGCUUCUGUGUGUUGCGCAUGUUGGGCACCAAUGUUCCAAUCGGCGAUGUUACCGCUCGGCAAUGUACCGACUAGAAGAAUGAAAAACAAGAGACUCCCUCCUCAAUCCCACCAUCCUCCUCUACACUCCGACCCCUCCCUCGCCAGUUUGUCCUCCUCUCCCGCACGGAAAGUCACAGUCCUGCCACCAUCUUAGGUGUUAAGACUGGCACAAAAUGGCAGCUAAAAGAAAGCAGAAUGUGGAUAGGCAGCGCUGCACCUUCCCCCACAUCGCGUUGGCUUCGCUCCUUUCCGCGCCAUUGGUCGCCUCAAGACAGUGUUAAUUACCGCCAGUGUGUUAAUUGUGGGGAUCGCCCCGAGAGACCCGCGGGAAGGGGUGAGAUAAAGAGGAAGCCGUAGGAGCCAGCGGCUUUUGAGCGUUGGCAAACUGGCAUUUUUAAGGGCAGCUGCGGUUCCCGCGUUGCUUUCGGCGUUCCCGUCGUCAAGCUGCAGACGCUGGCAAUCGGCCAUUUUGUGGACUUUUAAGACGCUCUGAAAACCCCAUUCGACGACUCCGUUUCCAGGUUCCUAAUUGGUCCGAAGUUGGAAAUCAUCGGAUCUUUGCCUCUUUGCUCUUUUGGACUGUGACUUUGAGGCCAGUGAUGUUCGUCUUAGACAGGACAUCUUUAACCACUAAUAUACACAAGGAAACACACCGUCCAGUGGACGAAUAAAUUGCGGUGAAUUACGGUGAUCAGUGUGGGUGUGUUGCUGGAGGGUUUUCUCAUGUGCUGCUCUGCACAGCUGCUCAGGAAACAUCUGUACUACAUUUUCAUGUAUGGCAGAGCAUAGAUCAUUCUCUCUCAAACACACUCUCAAUCAUCUAAAGUUCAAACUAAUUUUAGAUCAGAUGAUGAUAAAAUAGUUGCUGUGGGGUUCUGAACUUGUUUCGCAAUGUAUUAUUCUUUAGAGAAUCUUAUCUUAGAUCUUAAAUCAUAGCAUUUAAACUGUGUUGUAUUGUAAUUAUUUGAAUGAGCAAGAAGAUGUGGACAUUUUUAUCAGGUAAAAUUCUUGAUGUCUCAAUGUAAUGUUUCACAGUCAAUGUGACUGGUUUACAAUUUUUUUUCUGUUUGCGAUGUCAAAAUAGUCUCUUGGAAUUGAUCCAUCAACCAUAAAUUGUAUAAAAAUCAUCCUUAAUUUGACUUUUUUUUUACAUUUAACCAUCUCAUAUUAGUGUUUGUUGUGCCCUUUUCAAGGCUUUGUUUUUUAAAGCAAAUAUAUAUAUUUAAAUUUUUAGUGUACACAUUUAAUCAAUAGCACUAUUAUCCCUGCAAGAAGCGUUUUUGUGCAAUCAAAACUACAUUAUGUUAAUUUCUUUCCUCUAUGCAAAAUGUUGUUUUGCACUCUUUGUUAAAGUGUUUGCACAGUAAUUGUUUUGUUAAGUUUUCACAUUAGCAAUGUUCAGCUUGUGUGAGAGAAUCUUGAUGCUAAUAUGCACUAUAUGAGCACAAGUGCAAUAACAAAUGUGUUUAUCUGGAGGUUCAAUGAGAAACAGUUAAUUCUGUUUUGAUUUAGUCAGUAAAUGCAAAAGUAGAUUUAUUUACACAUUUAAUUUGUUAAGUCAGUUCCUCGUUUAAUGUAAUAUUAGUGAAUGAAUGGGAUUCUGUUUUGAUCCAUUGUGGAUAACUUGUGGAUAUGUGCAAUCGAUUUUAUGCAGUUUGAAGACUAUUCAGAGGGAACAAUUGAUUAUAUUAUAAUGCACUAUGGAUGACACACCAGCUGCUGUUAAUGUGCUCCAAAUCUGUACUAUGCAACAGUUUCACCUGCAGUUUAUUUGAAACAAUAAAAGUAUUCACUUUUUGAAUGAGACAAUGAA